UCGCACGAGAAAGUGGAGCAAUCCAUGAGUAAAGUGGCGCACGGGUGAGUAACACGUGAAUGAUCUACCUCCGAGUGGGGAAUAACCUGGAGAAAUCCGGGCUAAUACCGCAUAACACUUACGAGUCAAAGCAGCAAUGCGCUUGGAGAGGAGUUCGCGGCCGAUUAGUUAGUUGGUGGGGUAAUGGCCUACCAAGACGAUGAUCGGCAUCCGGCCUGAGAGGGCGCACGGACACACUGGAACUGAAACACGGUCCAGACUCCUACGGGAGGCAGCAGUGGGGAAUUUUGCGCAAUGGGGGAAACCCUGACGCAGCAACGCCGCGUGGAGGAUGAAAUCCCUUGGGAUGUAAACUCCUUUCGAUCGGGACGAUUAUGACGGUACCGGAAGAAGAAGCCCCGGCUAACUUCGUGCCAGCAGCCGCGGUAAUACGAGGGGGGCAAGCGUUGUUCGGAAUUAUUGGGCGUAAAGGGCGCGUAGGCGGUUUGACAAGUCUGAUGUGAAAUCUCUGGGCUCAACUCAGAGUCUGCAUUAGAAACUGUCGGGCUAGAGUAU
rnacentral:rRNA from 1 species